CCAUUGUUCGCCAAAUAACUACGAGUAAAAACUUAAAACUUAAAAGACUUGACGGUACUUCACAACACCCUAGAGGAGCCUGUCUAAUAACCGAUACUCCACGAUUAACCCAACCCCCACUAGCCUAACAGUCUAUAUACCGCCAUCGCCAGCUUACCUUGUGAAAGAAACAAAGUGAGCAUAACAGCCACCACUAACACGAUAGGUCGAGGUGUAACUAAUGCGGGGGACAAGAUGGGCUACAUUUUCUAACCCAGAAAACACGAACAAACUAUGAAACUAGAAACUGAAGGCGGAUUUAACAGUACAUUAAGAACAACAUACUUAACCGAAACAAACGCAAUGAAGUGCGUACACACCGCCCGUCAUCCCUGUAAAACAAUAAUAAAUCUCCAUAAACAAACACAACAACCCAGCAGGGCAAGUCGUAAC
rnacentral:rRNA from 1 species